CCGACAGCAAUAUGAAGGCCAGGCUGAAGACUUUGCCGGAUUAGCUGAGAGGUGGUGCAUGGCCGUCGUCAGUUCGUACUGUGAAGCAUCCUGUUAAGUCAGGCAACGAGCGAGACCCACGCCCACAGUUGCCAGCGUACUCUCUGGAGUGACGGGUACACUGUGGGGACCGCCGCUGCUAAAGCGGAGGAAGGAAUGGGCAACGGUAGGUCAGUAUGCCCCGAAUAUCCCGGGCUACACGCGAGCUACAAUGGUUGGUACAAUGGGUAUCUACCCCGAAAGGGGACGGGAAUCUCCUAAAACCAAUCUUAGUUCGGAUUGAGGGCUGCAACUCGCCCUCAUGAAGCUGGAAUCCGUAGUAAUCGCGUUUCAACAGAACGCGGUGAAUACGUCCCUGCUCCUU
rnacentral:rRNA from 1 species